GACGAACGCUGGCGGCGUGCUUAACACAUGCAAGUCGAACGGAAAGGCCCUGCUUUUGUGGGGUGCUCGAGUGGCGAACGGGUGAGUAACACGUGAGUAACCUGCCCUUGACUUUGGGAUAACUUCAGGAAACUGGGGCUAAUACCGGAUAGGAGCUCCUGCUGCAUGGGGGGGGUUGGAAAGUUUCGGCGGUGGGGGAUGGACUCGCGGCUUAUCAGCUUGUUGGUGGGGUAGUGGCUUACCAAGGCUUUGACGGGUAGCCGGCCUGAGAGGGUGACCGGCCACAUUGGGACUGAGGUACGGCCCAGACUCCUACGGGAGGCAGCAGUGGGGAAUAUUGCACCAUGGGCGGAAGCCUGAUGCAGCAACGCCGCGUGCGGGAUGACGGCCUUCGGGUUGUAAACCGCUUUCGCCUGUGACGAAGCGUGAGUGACGGUAAUGGGUAAAGAAGCACCGGCUAACUACGUG
rnacentral:rRNA from 1 species